rnacentral:rRNA from 1 species
UACGUAGGGAGCAAGCGUUGUCCGGAAUUACUGGGCGUAAAGGGCGCGUAGGUGGGCGCUUAAGUCAGGUGUGAAAACUCCGGGCUCAACCUGGAGACUGCACUUGAAACUGGGUGUCUUGAGGGCAGGAGAGGAAAGUGGAAUUCCUAGUGUAGCGGUGAAAUGCGUAGAUAUUAGGAGGAACACCAGUGGCGAAGGCGACUUUCUGGACUGUACCUGACGCUGGGGCGCGAAAGCGUGGGUAGCGAACGGG